UGCCACUAUGUUCUGGAGAAGACUGGUUGCCAGCCUGCUACCUCUGGACUAUGGCCCUGUGUUAAAAACCUUUAUUUCUCCCUGCAGAAAGGCUUGUUCGUGCUUUUCUGCCAGGGUGUUCGGUAAAUUCAAUUUACCGAACAAACGCACGAAUGACCGGACCACCUGGGUAUGGAGUGUGCAGGCAAUUGAUCUCCCAGAAGCUGUGGUUAACUGCAGCUUAACU